GAUGAACGCUAGCUACAGGCUUAACACAUGCAAGUCGAGGGGAAACGAUAGAGAAAGCUUGCUUUUUCUAGGCGUCGACCGGCGCACGGGUGAGUAACGCGUAUCCAACCUGCCCACCACUUGGGGAUAACCUUGCGAAAGUAAGACUAAUACCCAAUGACGUCUCUAGAAGACAUCUGAAAGAGAUUAAAGAUUUAUCGGUUACAGAUGAACAUGCGUUCCAUUAGCUGGUUGGCGGGGUAACGGCCCACCAAGGCAACGAUGGAUAGGGGUUCUGAGAGGAAGGUCCCCCACAUUGGAACUGAGACACGGUCCAAACUCCUACGGGAGGCAGCAGUGGGGAAUAUUGGGCAAUGGGCGCAAGCCUGACCCAGCAACGCCGCGUGAAGGAAGAAGGCUUUCGGGUUGUAAACUUCUUUUAAGAGGGAAGAGCAGAAGACGGUACCUCUAGAAUAAGCCACGGCUAACUACGUG
rnacentral:rRNA from 1 species